CCUACGGGCGGCUGCAGUGGGGAAUAUUGGACAAUGGGGGGAACCCUGAUCCAGCCAUGCCGCGUGUGUGAAGAAGGCCCUCGGGUUGUAAAGCACUUUCAGUGAGGAAGAACGCCUGGUGGUUAAUACCCAUCAGGAAAGACAUCACUCACAGAAGAAGCACCGUCUAACUCCGUGCCAGCAGCCGCGGUAAUACGGAGGGUGCGAGCGUUAAUCGGAAUUACUGGGCGUAAAGCGCGCGUAGGUGGCUUGAUAAGCCGGUUGUGAAAGCCCCGGGCUCAACCUGGGAACGGCAUCCGGAACUGGCAAGCUAGAGUGCAGGAGAGGGAGGUAGAAUUCCCGGUGUAGCGGUGAAAUGCGUAGAGAUCGGGAGGAAUACCAGUGGCGAAGGCGGCCUUCUGGACUGACACUGACGCUGAGGUGCGAAAGCGUGGGUAGCAAACAGGAUUAGAUACCCCGGUAGUC
rnacentral:rRNA from 1 species